rnacentral:rRNA from 1 species
GAUCCUGGCUCAGGAUGAACGCUAGCUACAGGCUUAACACAUGCAAGUCGAGGGGCAGCAUUUCAGUUUGCUUGCGAACUGGAGAUGGCGACCGGCGCACGGGUGAGUAACACGUAUCCAACCUGCCGAUAACUCGGGGAUAGCCUCUCGAAAGAAAGAUUAAUACCCGAUGGUAUAAUUAGACCGCAUGGUCUUGUUAUUAAAGAAUUUCGGUUAUCGAUGGGGAUGCGUUCCAUUAGG